CAGUAGCCACGGGAAUACGUAGGUGGCAAGCGUUGUCCGGAAUUAUUGGGCGUAAAGGGCUCGCAGGCGGUUUCUUAAGUCUGAUGUGAAAGCCCCCGGCUCAACCGGGGAGGGUCAUUGGAAACUGGGAAACUUGAGUGCAGAAGAGGAGAGUGGAAUUUCACGUGUAGCGGUGAAAUGCGUAGAGAUUUGGAGGAACACCAGUGGCGAAGGCGACUCUCUGGUCUGUAACUGACGCUGAGGAGCGAAAGCGUGGGGAGCGAACAGGAUUAGAUACCCGAGUAGUCCAUGUCUCUUAUAC
rnacentral:rRNA from 1 species